AGCGGGCACCGGGAGGGAGGGGGCGGCGGGCCGCGGCCGAGCGACGCGCGUCCUCCUCGGCCCCAUCCCCGAGUCACCCCCCCCCCCCGCAGCCCCGCCCCCGGCCCGAGGGCAGCGCUGGGACACGGCCCGGAGGUGGCCUGGGGGUGGCGCGGGGCGGGGGGGUGGGGGUGGGAGGGAUGUCCCGCCCUCGGGGAAGCCCGGGGAGGGGGCGGGCGCGCUGAUGACCGGAGGGAGGGCGUGCGGGCCCAGAGGAAAAGCCCCGAAGACCGGGAAGAUGGAGGAGGUCGCUGCGGCCGAGGGGGCGGGGGCCCCUAGCCUCCCUCCCGCGGGGUCACCUUGGCCAGGCCCCCCGCGGCCACGGGCGGCGGGGAGGGCGGCAGGAAUGCCUCUCCGCAGGCCCUGAUUUCUCCGCCCAGCCCAGUUCCAGGAACGCGCGGGCAGCGCCCGGCAGGCAGAGGCCCCGGCUUCGGAUUCGGGGAGGCGCAAGCCAGGGUUCGAGGCCGGGAUGAGCCCCUCCCUCCCGUCCCUCGCCGGGCUGGUCCCCGCCUUGCCCUCGGCCUCGGUUUCCCACCCGGUAGAAUUAGGACGAGGUCGGGCCGGGAACAGUCCUGGCUUCCGCUCGGCCCCAGUCUUGGUCCCAGCAUUUGGGACAACCUGCAUCCCCAGCCUGAGCGCCGCGGGGGUCCUUGCUCGCUCUGGGACCUUCCGCGUCCAGCGCGGCGCCCGCGGUUAGGGCGCGCGGUGGGAGUGGAUGCCGGCGAGUGCGAAAGCCCGGCACCCGCACCCGCCUAAGCUGUUUCUCCCUCCUGAUGUUGAACCCAGGCUCUGAGUUCCUGAAUGUGUCUUGUUUGGGCCAAUCUGGAGCCCCCGCCCAGUUAUCUUCCUGCUGCUCUGCUGUCAGGUGGCAAAUCUUGGUUCAAAAACAGUCCUCCUGCUAUUGGCCAGCCUUGCCGCUUCACAGUUGGCCUUGAGGAGCCCAAGAGACGAAAAGCAUCCUCUAUAGGUGAGGCAUCUAACUCCGGGUGUCAUUACGCCUUCGUUCGUGUAUUUGAUGCUUCUGUCUCCCGCCACAGCCCGAGGCCGGUGGGUCUUGAUCACGCAACAUCCUCAGCUCUUGGUACAGAGCUUGGCACCUAGUAGGUGCUCAAGACGUGUUGCACGGAUGGUCAUAGGGGGUCUUACAAUCCAGUAGGACCUGAAUCCAAUGACCAGGUAAGUCCAAUGACCUCUGCACCUUGAGGGGCACUUGACCAAAAGAAACCUUCACCCUGGGAGGGCCUUUCUCAAUGUUUUUCUACACACACUAGUUUUCAUGGACAAGCAGGUUGCUCCCAGUUGGAACUCUGAGCUGGGAUUUCCCACCUUGCUCCUUUCUAAGGUUGUUUUGGACAUUAACUGAGGUACAUUCUUAACACAUAUUAGCCAUCACUACCUAGUGUCCACAAUUGCAGGACCCAGAUGGAGUCCCUUUAGCUGCCAAUAACCCCCUAAAUUUGGCUUUGCAAAUCCCACAAGAGUGAAGAACUAUAUAAUAUGGGUGGGGCUGACCCAACCCAGAAACCCCCAGUUCUCGGCCAGACGAGUUUUUUUCUCUGUACUGGAUGGCUCACUUUUAUUAUAUUCACUAUAACCCUGAGGGUGUGUCCUAUUAUUAUUCCCAUUUUAUAGAGAAGGAAACUGAGGCACAGAGAAGUAACUGGGCCAAGGUCUUAGAAGCUAGUGAGAGACAUGGUCCAGAUUGCCGUCUCAGCUGAGCUUAUUCCAAAGCUGGUGUUAUAACACGCUAUCUCCCUGGGGCAUCAGAAAAAUUAUGGGGUGGGGGUGCAGGACAUCUGAGAGGGCCAGGCUCUGAAAGGAUUUUUUGUGGGGGGUUGUGCUUUUCCAAGAGGCAGCGCCUGCUAUAGCAGUCACACCAAGCUUGGCUUCCUCCUUCUUAGUGAAAGGUGGGUAAGAGGGGAUGUCCUCCCCCCCUCCUAUCACCCUGGGCCUCCUCCCUCUAAGAGUCCUUGUUCUGAGCAACCAUCCUUUGCUACCUGUUCCCCUCUCCUGUGUUAUGGACUGUCACCCCUGCUAGUACUAAACUAGAAGUUCCCCAACUUACAGCAAGAAGGCAGCCAUCUGCAAGCCAGGAAGAGUGUCCUCACCAGGAACUGAAUUUGCCAGCACUUUGAUCUUGGACUUCAGCCUCCAGAACUGUUGGAAAUAAUGUGUGUUGUUUAAGCUACUCCAUCUAUGUUAUUUUGUUAUAGUAGUCUGAGCUAGGAUAAUUGCUGAAAGAUAUAUUUGGGGGGCUGAAUCUGGUCCCUUAAACUUUCAACAGUAAACAUUUAUUGAACAUC